rnacentral:lncRNA from 1 species
AUACAUAUUUUUUUAUAGGUUUUAUUAAAUAAUCUGUGGACAAAUUAUAAAUCAUCCCCUAUAAAAAAAAUCACAUUCUAAUAAAUUGUACCCAGUCCAAUAAAAUUUAUUCAAAAGAACAAUAAAAUAUCUCAAUACAUUGGUCCAAAAUAUAUACACCUACCAUACGGUAAUAUGAACCAUAUAAUACCACAAUAAGUAUGGGACUAAAACACAUGCACCUGUUGGCUUAAAUAGGCCAGCAUCCUGUCCUGUAGCGGGAGACCAUGUUACGUCAAGUCAUGUUCGAAAUGGCGUGAGGCUCGGUGGGUCGAGUCAUGUUCGAAGUGGCGUGAGACUGGUUGGGCCAAGCCUCAAUUGAGACCCGUGGGCAUUGUAUCUAUAUGUUUUAAGUAAAUUGGUUGUGUAUUUCUCAUAGCUCAAGCUUUUGGGAUUAAUGAUAACCGUCAACGAUCCGACAAGUGGUAUCAGAACCAGAGCUCACGGGUUCGAUUUCCGCAUGCUGCAAAUGUGUGCAGAUGCUGGAAGGGGGAUUGUUGGCUUAAAUAGACCAGCAUCCUGUCCUAUGGUGGGAGGCCAUAUUGCGUCGAGUUAUGUUCGAAAUGGCGUAAGGUUGAGUGGGCCGAGUCAUGUUCGAAGUGGCGUGAGGCUGAUUGGGCCGAGUCACAAUCGAGACCUGUGGACACUGUAUCUAUAUGUUUUAAGUGAAUUGGUUGUGUAUUUAAUAGCUCAAGCUUUUGGGAUUAAUAGAAAGC